UGGGGAAUAUUGGACAAUGGGCGCAAGCCUGAUCCAGCCAUGCCGCGUGAGUGAUGAAGGCCCUAGGGUUGUAAAGCUCUUUCACCGGUGAAGAUAAUGACGGUAACCGGAGAAGAAGCCCCGGCUAACUUCGUGCCAGCAGCCGCGGUAAUACGAAGGUGGCUAGCGUUGUUCGGAUUUACUGGGCGUAAAGCGCACGUAGGCGGACUUUUAAGUCAGGGGUGAAAUCCCGGGGCUCAACCCCGGAACUGCCUUUGAUACUGGAAGUGUUGAGUAUGGUAGAGGUGAGUGGAAUUCCGGGUGUAGAGGUGAAAUUCGUAGAUAUUCGGAGGAACACCAGUGGCGAAGGCGGCUCACUGGACCAUUACUGACGCUGAGGUGCGAAAGCGGGGGGAGCAAACAGG
rnacentral:rRNA from 1 species